AGAGGGUGAAACUCCCUGCSUUGGACCWGGCGAAGCAAAUUGUCACUGAGUCGAGUUGUUUGGGAUUGCAGCUCAAAUUGUACGGUGGUAAAUUCCAUCUCAAGCUAAAUACACACAAGAGACCAAUAGCGAACAAGUACCGUGAGGGAAAGAUGAAAAGAACUUUGAAAAGAGAGUGAAAGAGUACCUGAAAUUGCUGAAAAGGAAGCGAACGAAGCUAGUGACAGCUGCGUCAUACUUUCCAACUUGCUWGCAAUUUGGACGCUGUGGCCAGCCCUGUUGGGCUUGAYUGCGACAGGUGAAAACAGGCAAUGAAAAGAUUCCAUUUUCGCUCGCCUCUUGCACCAGUCGCAUUUGAGCUGAACGAAAUAGAUUUGUUUGCCCCGUCUAGAAACACGGACCAAGGAGUCUAACAUAUGUGCGAGUACUGGGGUGGCAAACCUUGGUGCGCAAUGAAAGUGUCAGAGGCUGRAAUGUCRUAACAAGCAUUGCACAGUCCGC
rnacentral:rRNA from 1 species